AUGAACGCUGGCGGCGUGCCUAAUCCCUGCAAGUCGCGCGAACGGACGAGAAGCUUGCUUCUCUGAUGUUAGCGGCGGAUGGGUGAGUAACACGUGGAUAACCUACCUAUAAGACUGGGAUAACUUCGGGAAACCGGAGCUAAUACCGGAUAAUAUUUUGAACCGCAUGGUUCAAAAGUGAAAGACGGUCUUGCUGUCACUUAUAGAUGGAUCCGCGCUGCAUUAGCUAGUUGGUAAGGUAACGGCUUACCAAGGCAACGAUGCAUAGCCGACCUGAGAGGGUGAUCGGCCACACUGGAACUGAGACACGGUCCAGACUCCUACGGGAGGCAGCAGUAGGGAAUCUUCCGCAAUGGGCGAAAGCCUGACGGAGCAACGCCGCGUGAGUGAUGAAGGUCUUCGGAUCGUAAAACUCUGUUAUUAGGGAAGAACAUAUGUGUAAGUAACUGUGCACAUCUUGACGGUACCUAAUCAGAAAGCCACGGCUAACUACGUG
rnacentral:rRNA from 1 species